rnacentral:rRNA from 1 species
UACGUAGGGGGGCAAGCGUUUGUCCGGAUUUACUGGGCGUAAAGAGCGUGUAGGCGGCCAAGCAGGUCCGCUGUGAAAACUUGAGGCUCAACCUCAAGAGGUCGGUGGAAACCAUCUGGCUAGAGUCCGGAAGAGGAGAGUGGAAUUCCCGGUGUAGCGGUGAAAUGCGCAGAUAUCGGGGAAGAACACCCGUGGCGAAGGCGGCUCUCUGGGACGGUACUGACGCGUGAGACGCGAAAGCGUGGGGAGCGAACAGG